rnacentral:lncRNA from 1 species
GGGUCAGCGAGGGAAAGGAUGGGGCCCGGCUGUCAGCAGCAGAGAGGAGAGAGAGGGGAGGGACGCGAGCCGUGGGAAGCGCUGGGACGUGAUGUGGGCUGUGCUCGCGAUGCGGGAGGGGGGAGAGUCUAGGCGCGGGGCUGGCUGGGCCUCGGCCUGGUUUCCAGGGGCUCCUCCCCUUUUUCCUUUUUAUUUCUUUUUUUUCAAUUCUUUUUCCAAAGUAGUUUUUGAGCAAAGAACAAUUAAAAUAAAAAUAGAAACAUGAGCACAAAAAUACCAUGCUCCAGCAUGAAUGCACAAACAAGUUCCUAG